rnacentral:tRNA from 2 species
GCGGAUGUAGCUCAAUGGUAGAGCAUCAGCUUCCCAAGCUGAGGGUUGCGAGUUCGAUCCUCGUCAUCCGCUCCA